rnacentral:rRNA from 1 species
GACGAACGCUGGCGGCAUGCCUAAUACAUGCAAGUCGUGCGAACUGACGAAGUACUUGUACUUUUGAGGUUAGCGGCGAACGGGUGAGUAACACGUAAGGAAUCUACCUAUAAGCGGGGGAUAACAUUCGGAAACGGAUGCUAAUACCGCAUAAUACAUAUUUCCGCAUGGAAAUACGUUGAAAGACGGCUCUGCUGUCACUUAUAGAUGACCUUGCGGUGCAUUAGUUAGUUGGUGGGGUAAUGGCCUACCAAGACGAUGAUGCAUAGCCGACCUGAGAGGGUGAUCGGCCACAUUGGGACUGAGACACGGCCCAAACUCCUACGGGAGGCAGCAGUAGGGAAUCUUCCGCAAUGGGCGAAAGCCUGACGGAGCAAUGCCGCGUGAGUGAAGAAGGCCUUCGGGUCGUAAAACUCUGUAUAAGAGAAGAACAAAUUGUAGAGUAAC